rfam:Smittium culicis strain GSMNP scaffold-9575, whole genome shotgun sequence.
GGGUAGAUGACUGAGAGGUUUAAGGUAUUUCGCUUGAAACGAAAAAAGGUUUUUUUAUCUUCAUGGGUUCAAAUCCCAUUCUGCCCG